rnacentral:rRNA from 1 species
UGGAUUAAGAGCUUGCUCUUAUGAAGUUAGCGGCGGACGGGUGAGUAACACGUGGGUAACCUGCCCAUAAGACUGGGAUAACUCCGGGAAACCGGGGCUAAUACCGGAUAACAUUUUGAACCGCAUGGUUCGAAAUUGAAAGGCGGCUUCGGCUGUCACUUAUGGAUGGACCCGCGUCGCAUUAGCUAGUUGGUGAGGUAACGGCUCACCAAGGCAACGAUGCGUAGCCGACCUGAGAGGGUGAUCGGCCACACUGGGACUGAGACACGGCCCAGACUCCUACGGGAGGCAGCAGUAGGGAAUCUUCCGCAAUGGACGAAAGUCUGACGGAGCAACGCCGCGUGAGUGAUGAAGGCUUUCGGGUCGUAAAACUCUGUUGUUAGGGAAGAACAAGUGCUAGUUGAAUAAGCUGGCACCUUGACGGUACCUAACCAGAAAGCCACGGGCUAACUACGUGCCAGCAGCCGCGGUAAUACGUAGGUGGCAAGCGUUAUCCGGAAUUAUUGGGCGUAAAGCGCGCGCAGGUGGUUUCUUAAGUCUGAUGUGAAAGCCCACGGCUCAACCGUGGAGGGUCAUUG